rnacentral:rRNA from 1 species
AACGAACGCUGGCGGCAGGCUUAACACAUGCAAGUCGAGCGCGUAGCAAUACGAGCGGCAGACGGGUGAGUAACGCGUGGGAAUCUACCUUUUGCUACGGAAUAACUCAGGGAAACUUGUGCUAAUACCGUAUGUGCCCUUUUGGGGAAAGAUUUAUCGGCAAGAGAUGAGCCCGCGUUGGAUUAGGUAGUUGGUGGGGUAAUGGCCUACCAAGCCGACGAUCCAUAGCUGGUCUGAGAGGAUGAUCAGCCACAUUGGGACUGAGACACGGCCCAAACUCCUACGGGAGGCAGCAGUGGGGAAUAUUGGACGAUGGGCGCAAGCCUGAUCCAGCCAUGCCGCGUGAGUGAUGAAGGCCCUAGGGUUGUAAAGCUCUUUCACCGGUGAAGAUAAUGACGGUAACCGGAGAAGAAGCCCCGGCUAACUUCGUGCCAGCCGCCGCCGUAA